UACUGAGGUCUCAAGCGUUGUUCGGAUUCAUUGGGCGUAAAGGGUGCGUAGGCGGCGCGGUAAGUCGGGUGUGAAAUCUCGGGGCUUAACUCCGAAACUGCAUUCGAUACUGCCGUGCUUGAGGACUGGAGAGGAGACUGGAAUUUACGGUGUAGCGGUGAAAUGCGUAGAUAUCGUAAGGAAGACCAGUGGCGAAGGCGGGUCUCUGGACAGUUCCUGACGCUGAGGCACGAAGGCCAGGGGAGCAAACGGG
rnacentral:rRNA from 1 species